AGAUACUGAAGAACCAAUUUACUGUAAUACUGACACAAGCAAGCAAAACAAGAAAAAGAAAGGCAAACCCACAGCAGAUAAUGCAGAGGCCAUGAAUGUCACAGUCCUCCCAAAGAAGAAAAGGAAGUAAAUGAAGGGGGUCCCCAGGAGUGAGAGCCAGCCUGAAUCCAGGAGACACUGAGAAGGGGAGCGUGUCAAACUGAAGGAGACAGACCCAUUCUUUCAGAAUGAACUGGAGAGCCCUGGGAUUCAGCUCCACUCCUGCCC